AAAAGAUCCUACAAGAUUCACAGAUUGCUCUGUUACUAAGAAAUUUGCAGAACUUACUAAUGCAACAUUAACUCCAUUGAUAUUGAAACGUGGGGAAUUAAGCUACUGGCAAGGAAUACUACAAACCAAGAGAACCAUACAAUGGGCUGUACUGCAUGCCAU